GGCUGUAUGGUGCAGGGGUAGCACACGAGGUUUUGAUGGCUCUCUUCCUCGCGACCUGGGUUCGAUCCCCAGUGCAGCCU